GACGAACGCUGGCGGCGUGCUUAACACAUGCAAGUCGAACGGAAAGGCCCUGCUUUUGUGGGGUGCUCGAGUGGCGAACGGGUGAGUAACACGUGAGUAACCUGCCCUUGACUUUGUGAUAACUUCAGGAAACUGGGGCUAAUACCGGAUAGGAUCUCCUGCUGCAUGGUGUGGGUUGGAGAGUUUCGGCGGUUGGGGCAGGACUCGCGGCUUAUCCGCUUGUUGGUGGGGUAGUGGCUUACCAAGGCUUUGACGGGUAGCCGGCCUGAGAGGGUGACCGGCCACAUUGGGACUGAGAUACGGCCCAGAAUCCUACGGGAGGCAGCAGUGGAGAAUAUUGCACAAUGGGCGGAAGCCUGAUGCAGCAACGCCGCGUGCGGGAUGACGGCCUUCGGGUUGUAAACCGCUUUCGACUGUGACGAAGCGUGAGUGACGGUAAUGGGUAAAGAAGCACCGGCUAACUACGUG
rnacentral:rRNA from 1 species